GGAGGGCACAGAAAUUAUUAACUCCCUGCCAAGGGAUACUCAUUGAAUACAUCACGUGAGAAAUCCACAGAGCCUCACCGGAAAGGAAGACCUCUCAAGAGAUCAGUUACAGUAAACAACUCAAGAAAGAUGUAUCAAGUCUUGUCUGCCCUGGAAAACUCUAAAUGGAGAACUAGUGAAAUUUUGACAUCACAGAAGUCAAGGGAGUGAGGCCCUGAUAAAGUUAAAGUUACACGUGUGCAUAACUACCACCAGUCAGACCUGUGCUGCUAUACCUGUGCUAGGUGAGGAAGGCAGCCCAGCAAUGGGAAGCUGGCUGGAGGGGAGCCAAAGGUCUGUGGAAGACUCCAAAAAAGGAAGGCCUGGGAGCAGCUGCUCAGGAAAAAGCAGGGAGCCACCCAGGAGGAGCUGAGAGGAGAGAGGGAAAGGAGCCCGGUCAGGGUGAGAGCUGAGCUGAAUGGAUGGACAGAAGAGUGCCUGAAUUGAAGGGGAAAAAACAGGCUGCUUGGAUUGGCCCAGUUUGAGACUGGCAAGAGUCUGUGUUUUGGACUUGGAUUCACUGGGAAGGAUGGGAUUAGCUGGAGGGCCGAGCCACUGCAGCAAGUCACCUUUAUGGAUGGAGUAGGCUGAAGAUUGUUGUGGGGAAACUGAGGCAGAGUGCUGUAAUGCUGGGUCUUGCACUGAGGGGGUUCUCUGAGAUGGUGACUCCUCUACCGGUGCUUUUGGAAGCUGUAGUGUUCACAGGGCUCAGGUGUUCUUAAUCCAAAUCAGUUUUAGAGGAGGUGGUGAUAAAAACACCUGAAUGCUGGCUACACAAUAGCUGCCACAAAUGCUACCACAGAUAGAGCUUCACUUUGGGGGAAUUAAGGGUCCAUCAAAUCUUAGUGUAGUCACAGCCUUAUACAGAGUGACCAAAAAUCUUUGCUUUGUUUUUUCAUUUUGUUCUUGUCACCACCCAUUUAACUCCAAUGCCCAAUGAACUUUUAGGACAAAGGCUGUCUUUGUUAAAUACUCAACACCCUACAUUUACAAUGUGAAAGCUCACAUUAAACAUGACCCAAGAAAUCCUCCAGCAAAACUUGGGCCAAGAUUUCAUAGAUCCUUAGUUUAAGGCCAAUAGGGACCACUAGAUCAUCUAGUCUGACUUCCUGUUUAUCACAGGCUAUUACAUUUCACUGUUACCCUUGUAUUGAGCCCAGUUUGACAUUUCUGUUUAAAAAUAAUAAAGCAUAAAACACCCA